UUAUUACUUAUAUUAAUAUAAUAAAUAUUAAAAUAUAAUAUUCAUAGCAUAGCGUAGACUUUAAUAAUUGUUUUUUCCUAAACAGAAGGGAAACGGACAUCUUUUACACCACAGUCGAGACUAGAAGCCCAGGCACAUGGGCUCAUCAGUAUUAUCGUAUCCUUAAUUAUUGAAUACAUGCAGGCCUACCCCGUCCUUUCCUUCAACAGAUCUCUGUCCUUUUAUGUGUUACAUAAGUUCGCCGCCACAUCAUCACUUAGCUUUUUCAACGGCUGUGAUUGAACUAGAACUUCCAGUAAUAGAAUCAUACCUCCUAAACAUGUGGGCCACAAUCAAACACGCAGUGAGGGUCACGUAAUCCUUAGCCGCACAUUGUUUAUUUGACGCGUUUGGUGAAUCAGUCUGCGGCCCAUUUGACCAGUAUAAGUAACUCAGUAACUCUCUUCCCUUGCCCAUGAACCGGUCCGGUUUAAAACUCUCCGGUUCAUCAAAUACCUUAGGGUCUCUCAUAACCAGUGUUUGAUACCCACAAAGUAACUCGCCCUUUUUGAUGUCAUAUACCGAGUCAUGAGAACUGAGUUGAAAGUCUUUCCUGGCUCGGGCAUAUUGGAGAGGAACGGGUGGGUUGAGUCGAAAUGUCUCGUAGACCACUGAUUGAACGAGAGGCAUUUCUUUAACCGAGUCAAAAGUUAAACUCGGGCCGCCGUUUUCUCUAGCUUCUUUGCGUAGUCUUUCUUGUAACCCAGUGGUGUCGCUUGCAACUGUGCCUAUUAGAACCGGUAAAAACACAGAGAAGCCACCAAAUGCAUUGAAACCCAGUAUAAAAAGAAGGUUAUGAAUCGUUUCUUCCUCACUGAGUCCAAACUCGGACUCACCUCGCCGUAUCACUUCUUUGCCUUCUUUUCUGAUGAACUGAGCCAACUUGUUGUAAUCUCCAGAAACAAGAAAAGAAGGGUAGGCAAAAGAGUGAAGAAAGAUUUCCACGAGCGGCUGAGCAACACCGAUGUGGACGGUGGGGAGGAGCUGGAGGGCCAACCACUGGUCAAGCAUGGCGUACCCAUUCUUUUCAAUUUCAGGAGAGGUUGAUGGGUCAGCUCCAACAAGCGAUUUAAUCAGGAACUUGAACAUGCUUUGCUGGAGAGUGAAAAUGUAGCUUGAACUGCCUUUUUCUGAGACGUCACUGUCAACGUUUUCCCAAAGGAUAUCAAGGUUGGCUAGAAGUUCCGUGAGCCACACCUUGGAGCCUCGUUUCAAGAUGUCCAUUGCAAAAUUUUUUACCUUAGCAUGCUGAGGCUCAGAAGGAUCAAGAUAAGCGCCGGUCCUAAUAUUUCCGGUGAACUUAGUACUCGGCAUGAAAUCACCCACAAGAACGUUUUUCUUCUCGACGAUUUCCAUAUCAAAAAGAUGAGCAAAAGACUUGCAAUCAAGAACAGCCACAACGUUUGGAUUUACCCGUGAAAAGAAAGGAAAGGUUGGAGGCAUAUUUGUACGGAACACCGUCGAAUUGUACUUGGCAAUGCGUUUCCUGAAGAAGGUUUCAGGACCUUGAAACCAGAAGUAGUCUAGCCGAUCUGAGAUGGGUCCUAACAACGGCCAGCCAUAUGAUCCAGGGAUUGUACGGAGAGGAAGGGAAGGGGAUUGCGGAGAUUUAGUGGGAACAGUUUGUACAGGUGGCAGUGGCGGUGAUGAGGAGGAGGAGGAGGAGGAGGACAUGGCUGGGGAGGUGUUCAUCAUUUUGGUAAUCAUGGUGGCCAUGAUGGGGAGUGGGUGUUGAAGACGGUGGCGAUUUGUUGUGAAGUGAAUGGUUUUGUUAUUAUUAUUAUUAUUAAUUUUCUUUUGUGAGCAGCAGAAGUUAUAUGGGGAUAAGUUGAGGGACGGAGAACAAGUUAAGUAAAGUGAAGAUCUAAUGAAGGGUCCACUUCUGUAGAUGCAUUGUAAGAAAGCCCUCUCCGGUCUAUUAUUUGUGAGAAGGCAAAUUAUUGUGUACAUGGGGAACAUUAAAACACUGUGCUCUCUCUCAAAAAAAAAAAUUUCCUUAAUUUUUAAGAAUAUGGGACCAUCGAUUUAAA
rnacentral:misc_RNA from 1 species